rnacentral:lncRNA from 1 species
ACAACACAGUCGCAUUACAGAGAGGAAAGGUAAUCUGAGGAAAUUCAUAAAGAUGGCAAAUGAUGAUUCAUCUUCUCGAUGCUUUCCAUUUGACUUCCAAAAACUGCUUCAAUGCUUGGGUCUCCAGAAGAAGAUUCCCGGGUCAGAGGAAAACCCUUCUGCCAUUGAACCCACUGCAGCAGUACGAACAUCCACCUAUUUUACUUGUUUUAUUUUUCAUAAUGACUUUUUUUUUUUUUUUUAUUUGGGUGAACCAAUAGUUUUAGCAGUCACAGCUAAUGAUGCCCUGGGUAGCCAUUAGGGAUUUGAAGCACCUUGUAGCAAACUGGAAUUACUUAUAAAUAAAUUGUGGGCUAGGUUCUCUCUCUCUCUCUCUCUUUUUUUGGUGAGUAAUUUACUUACAAAAAAGUGAAGUCUUCGAAACUCUUAACAUAUUUAGCAUCACAAUUUUUAAAAUUUAGUUGUGGAACAAAUAAGUAUUUCACGAUUAAGUGCUAUCAAAAUUUUUAUGAUACUUUUGACAGUGUCGUGAUUUUUUUCUAUACGACUUACAAUGGCGCUUCGUUCUAGUGUCGGAAUACCACCACUAUAAAUUAUCUAUGGCGCUUUUUCACAACCCUAAAUAGUCUAGUCUAUUUUCUUGUAAUGAGAUGAUUAUAAUGCUAAGAAUAGUUCAUAUUCUAGGUUGGUCACUUUGAAUCUGAAUCUUGUUUCAACAGGAGACUACUCUGCGAGCUGCGCCUUCAAGACCUCCAAUAAAGACGAAGCCUGGCCAGAGUCAUUAGUAGAAAAAUCUCCAUCGAAUCGUCUCAGCCCUUAUACCUCUUGUUCCUGUUAUGAUACUUCCUCUACAUUUCUACAAGACCAGCCUUAUUUCCAUGCCCCUUGUUACUGUAUUGUAAAAUAACUGAACAAUAAAGAUCAUGUC